UGUAGUCCGAGUAAGUGCACAAAAUGCAUUUAUCACCUAGCAAUGAAAUUCCUUAAAGGCAUUUCAUCGUCAUAAUCACAUCUGUUCGUCAAAUUCCCACAAGUGUACGGGUUCGUUGUACAAGUAAUAAUCGUAAUGAGAGAGUUAUCGUCCCACAGGGAAUAAUGAUCAAUUUUAGUAUAUUGGAUAUAUUCAAAUUCGAAUUUGUAACCAAAAGAUGAUCGAGUGAAUAGCUAACUACUUUUUAUAACUAAAACUUAUUAAGUCAAUGAAAAUUGGUUUAAAAAUCAAAUGUAUGAACGUAUUGGAUUUCCGACGCCACUGAUCAAUUCUUAGUUCUAAUUCUCAACCAAUAAUAAUUAUUUCAAUUUAUGUAGUUGCGACGAUCAAUAAUUCCACUAUUAUUUAUUUUUAUUUUCCAAGAUAUAAUAAACCUAUAAUUACCACGAGACGAUCAUAUUCCUAGUCCGACUUCAUAUGACAAACAUGUAUUGAUAUUUAGGAUUAUCACAUAAGAUCGCACACAUCACAAAUAUUAUUCCUAAUAUUUAUUGCCCGUAUGUCUCAAUAAUAGUGUUCUAACUAUCGUGACUUUUCCAACACUACGAAAAAGCAACUUAUUAUCCUAAUGGUGCGCAAACAUUAAAACAAUCUAAUUGUGCAUAUUAAUGGAAUCACAACGCAAUAAUUAACAUAAAAACGUAGGUCUCGAGUUAAAACUAAAAAUUAAACAAUUUUUGUCAUCAUCCAAUACAUGAAAAUAUUUUGCCUAGCAUAAUGUUGGGAUUAAAUAAAUAAAAGUGGAAGGAAGUCACCGAAAUUUGACGGGACAUGAUUAACUCCACGAAAUUUCUCCACUUUUGCGCACGCGCGGCUUGUCUAGGUAGAUAUAUUUUUCCCCAAUUGGCGUGUAAUUAAACUCCCAGCAGCCACCUUUUCAACGUGUCUUCUGGUCAAUUGCGUGUGUUGUAUCAGUAAAAAAAAAAAAAAAAUCAGCCCAAUGUUUUUAUAAUCUCAACCAAUUGGCAGCCGAAUUCUCUUCUUUCUAGCCAUCUUUUUCUAUGGCUUCUUUUCUCUAUUCCUCUCCCCCCAGUUUCUGCCAAUGUUUCUGCAUAUAUAUAUCCAAGCAGCUGCUUUAAUUUAUAUGUAAAAUAAUUCAAUCCAAUUGCUAAUUUGUCCCCUCCUUCUGCCGAUUUUUUUGACUCCAAAAGAGUGAAAUUCCAUAU
rnacentral:lncRNA from 1 species